UACGGGGGGAGCAAGCGUUGUUCGGAUUUACUGGGCGUAAAGGGCGCGUAGGCGGUUAGCACAAGUCAGUUGUGAAAUCUCCGGGCUUAACUCGGAAAGGUCAACUGAUACUGUGCGACUAGAGUGCGGAAGGGGCAACUGGAAUUCUCGGUGUAGCGGUGAAAUGCGUAGAUAUCGAGAGGAACACCUGCGGCGAAGGCGGGUUGCUGGGCCGACACUGACGCUGAGGCGCGAAAGCCAGGGGAGCGAACGGG
rnacentral:rRNA from 1 species